CCUACGGGAGGCAGCAGUGGGGAAUAUUGGACAAUGGGGGGAACCCUGAUCCAGCCAUGUCGCGUGUGUGAAGAAGGCCCUCGGGUUGUAAAGCACUUUCAGUGAGGAAGAACGCCUGGUGGUUAAUACCCAUCAGGAAAGACAUCACUCACAGAAGAAGCACCGGCUAACUCCGUGCCAGCAGCCGCGGUAAUACGGAGGGUGCGAGCGUUAAUCGGAAUUACUGGGCGUAAAGCGCGCGUAGGUGGCUUGAUAAGCCGGUUGUGAAAGCCCCGGGCUCAACCUGGGAACGGCAUCCGGAACUGUCAAGCUAGAGUGCAGGAGAGGAAGGUAGAAUUCCCGGUGUAGCGGUGAAAUGCGUAGAGAUCGGGAGGAAUACCAGUGGCGAAGGCGGCCUUCUGGACUGACACUGACACUGAGGUGCGAAAGCGUGGGUAGCAAACAGGAUUAGAUACCCUUGUAGUC
rnacentral:rRNA from 1 species